CCCUGAGUAGAAGACACCGGCCAAGUAAAAUUCUGUGAUCCGAUGCCCCUCUACUGCCCCCCACCGGUGGACGCUGAAAGCACCGCAGAAGGAAUGAGCAGGAUGUCAUGAGGAACCUGUGUGACAGAGAGAUGUGUCAUCCUGCCGGUGCUGUACCAACCAAGAGGCUCUGGAGAGCAGAGCAGCUUACAAGAUAAGCAAAAGAAAAAAAAUCCAAAGGGAGCCAUAUGUUGCAGAAAUGCCGAACAUUUAUCCUAAAUCAAUGAAUUGACUGAGCACAUGCUCAUCCCUUACCUCUCAGGAGCUCUAAGAUUCACAGCAAAUCAAUGAAUUGGUGAACAUCCAACAGCUAAAGGCAUCAUAGAGGCAAACACACACACACACACUUACAAAAAAAAAAAAAAAAAUCUAGAUCUUGCUCAUUUAAAAAUAGCCUGGCCGUGGCUUUGACUGCACUCCGCAUGUCCCAAGCUGACGCAGGAAAACACGGCAAGCAAACACGCUCCUGCCUUCGCUCAGGAUGGACACGAGAAACCUUUACGACGGGGAGGAGCAAAACCCCACCUUAAAAGCAUUUGUUUCAUUCUUAAUUGGUAUCUGGGGCUGUGGCUGCAAUUAACCGACACCACGUGUCACGGACAGAGCCAGGAAGAAUGGUAUCUGGGUUGCCCCAGUGGCUCAGCAGCGUGAGGCGAAGCCGAGGGUGCCGGUGUGACGCUGAGGGUUUCUUUCUGCUCCUGCACCUGUUUCAUCUGUUCUCUCCUGACCAUCACUCAGCGGUUAAAGACACAGUCUGGAGUGGAGGAUGCUGCCUGUCUGCCAUUAUCUUUAUGACCGCCUGGGCGAGACGGGUAAUCUCGGGCCUGCCACCAGACUGAGGGACGGCCAAGCUGCAGCCGCCAACGAGGAGGGAGACCCUACCUGGUAAAGGAAACUGUAAAUCUCUCCCAUCCCCCCAUGAUUACGGCUGCACAAGGUCCUGUCAACAGUCAGCUGCGUGUUGAUGAAGCGAGCCAGGCUGCAGGGUGGAGCCAUUUCUCAGAGCAUGCUGCAGUGAGUGCCAUAAAGAGCUGAGGAAGGAGGGAGGCUCUGACAAACAUCAUCCGAACAACAUCAGAAGAGUUUGCUCACGGGGUUUCUGGACUCUACCCAGCUACAGUCGGGUGAAGGCGGGGCUUACUCUGGACAGAUCGCCAGUUUAUCGAAGGCCGACACAGAGACAACCACACUCACACUUACAAUUUAGUCAUCGAUUAACCUAAGAAACAUAUUUUUGGACCGUGGGAGGAAAAAGCCUUGACACCACAGUGGAAAAGUUCAUUCAUACAAGCCGGGGUGGAGGCUUUUGUGUGUUUGUUUGUUUGGACUCUGGUCUUUCUGAGAGACUUGACGCUGCUUGCACAAAAGCCCAAACAGCCCUGCUGGUUACACCAGUGCCUUCAUCCCAACAGCACAAGGGAUUGGACGGUAAAGCCCAUCCACUUCACGCGCCGUUCUUUCAGUCUAAAGAUAUCCUAAAAGGUGAAUUUCAAACAAUAACAAUUUUUAAAGACCCACUUCAGCUCUAAGAUAUUUUGCUUUUUUAACGUUCAAGGUAAAGAGCAGAUUAGGAAUUUUUUUAUGUUUUGAAGUAUAAAACUAGUUUUUUCGGGAGUGCUCAAGUAUGAGAGAGAGAUAUAAAAGGAGUCUACAGAACAAAACAAGCCAAAGUAAACUUCAAGUGUAUUAACUCAAAAUGUGUUGUGUAGUGGAUUCCUGUGUGGUUUGGUUUUACUUAGAUUUCUUCUAUCAGAAUAAAUGUGGAUUUAAUUAACCACUUUAUUUUCAUCUCAAAUACUUUUUUGUUUAAAAUACAUGAGAAUUUAGAGGUAAAAUUCACAAUUUUAUUGACUUUUGAGGAAGCAGGGGCUCCUGGUUUGAAGCCAGAGAGUGACAGUGGCACUUCUCAUCUGAGUCAUAAAAUAAGCUACGCUGCUGUUCUGAAUAAAAAAAAAAAAAAACCUCUUUAUAAUAAGAAAAA